rnacentral:rRNA from 1 species
AACGAACGCUGGCGGCAUGCCUAACACAUGCAAGUCGAACGAGACCAUCGGGUCUAGUGGCCCCCGGGUGUGUAACGCGUGGGAUCAUGCCCUUAGGUUCGGAAUAACUACCAGAAAGGGGUGCCAUUACGGGACCAUGUCUUCGGACCAAUGAUUUAUUGGCUUUGGAUGGGCCAGCGUUGGAUUAGCUAGUUGGUAGGGUUAAAGAUUACCAAGGCGACGAUACAUAGCUGGUCUGAGAGGAUGAUUAGCCACACUGGGACUGAGACACGGCCCAGACUCCUACGGGAGGCAGCGGUGGGGAAUAUUAGACAAUGGGCGAAAGCCUGAUCCAGCAAUGCCGCGUAAGUGAUUAAGGCCUGAGAGUUGUAAAGCGCAUUUACCCGGGAUGAUAAUGACGGUACCGUGAGAAUAAGCUCCGGCUAACUCCGUG